CCCUUAGACGUUCUGGGCUGCACGCGCGCUACACUGACCAGUGCAACAAGCAUCCGUCCUUGGCCGACAGGCCCGGGCAAUCUUUGAACGCUGGUCGUGAUGGGGAUAGACUUUUGCAAUUUUUGGUCUUCAACGAGGAAUUCCUAGUAAACGCAAGUCAUCAACUUGCAUUGAUUACGUCCCUGCCCUUUGUACACACCGCCCGUCGCACCUACCGAUUGAAUGGUCCGGUGAAGCCUCCGGAUUGGCGCGCACCUCGGUGCCGCCGAGAAGUUGGCUAAACCUUACCAUUUAGAGGAAGGUGAAGUCGUAACA
rnacentral:rRNA from 1 species